UCUUUCUCUCAAAUAAUUCUCGAACAACAACAACAACAAGUUUAUUGCGAUUAAUAAAUCGUUUCCAAGAAUAAUAUUCAAGCGUAACAAACGGAUACGAGCAACAAUUACGACGAUAUACACGUUUUACAAGCAAGCGAUAAGCCAGCCUGGUUUGACAGAGUCGGGGAAAAUUUACGAUGCAAGUGCGGGAUUAUAAGCGUCUCGUUUCAAGGUUGCUCCGAAGAAAUAUCUCAAAGCCAUUGUGCGAUACCGUGGAACGUCCACUUUUCUGUCGCGAGUGGUGCACAUUUCUUUCUUUUUUUCUUUUUUUUAAGGGGGAUCCACAUUGCCGAAUACAGAAAGGGUGAAACAGGGAGGCUCUUUCGAAAAUGCAAGCUUUUGAAUUACUUGACAGUGGCUGAAUAAAUUAUUAUUCAACCCCGUUCGGUUGCAAGAACAAGCCUGUAAACCGGGAAAAAACGAAUCGAAGUCGAAGCGUUUCGUUAAGUGGUGGCUUGGUCGGGUCGGGAGAGGAGGCAAACGAGAUGCACAUCCAUCAGAGGCAGGGAGGAAAUGGCGAGGGUGUAGUAGGCGAUCCUUUAGAAGCAACAGCUUUCGUUGCUUUGCAAGCUCGGGGGUCUUCCACGAGACGCCCUCGUUCGUCCACGCGGUGAGAGAAGUUGGGAAGAAGUCUUGGCAUCGGCCAGAGAAAUCUCGCGCAGCCUGUAUUCAAGAACCAUGGAAGGAUAACCGUGGAAGGCGAGAUUAAAGGCGUGGUGGAACGUUUGGGACGAGGUAAGAUCUCCCAUUGUUUGUCGUUGCUUGGAAAAUCAUUGUGAAGAAAUUCAUGCUCUGGAAACGUUGUAAGGCAAAAGAAAAUAGAAUAGGAAAAUCAUUGUAAAGAAAUUCAAGCUGAAAGGAAACGUUGUAAUGCAAAAGAAGUAAAUAGUAUAAGAAUUUAUGGUAUCAACAAUUGACUUUUGCAUCUUGUUAAGAAAUUCUCCUAGUCAAUUCUUGGAACAAUUCUAUAUAAUGCACACUUUUGUAAUAACAAUGUUUUCACGUCGUGUACAACAAGGAAAAUAUAUUUUCUCUUUGAUACAAAUACUCGUCAUUGUCAGAGAGAAAUAUUUCCUUCCGAGGAGGAAAUUUAAAUUCUUGAUAACUCCAACUUGAUUACUCGUUGAAAUAUUUAUAUAUAAGUCUUUGAAACAUAGAUAGAAACGUAGACCAUUCCGCUUUGUAAGGGGUAUACACCAUUGUGAAAUAUUCAAAUGACAGCUUUUUUUUUUUUUUUUUUUUCAUGGAUGAAAAGAAGAGAGUUUCUGGUAAGAAACUGGAUUAAAAAAAGUCUGACUUGUAUAUUUUUACGUAUCGUUGGGAUAUUACAAAAUACAAAGAUGUUGAUAAUUAUUAAAUGAAUCGAUGUUUUAAUUUUUGAAAUGUUAAUAAAGAAUAACAAAUAAGGAUUUUUCAAAAUAAACAUAAACUAAAUCUCAGCUCAACAUAUCAAGUUUUAUAAACUAAAACUGUUCCAGAUAUUCUAGACUCGCAAAAAGAAUAGAGAAACAGGAUAAAGUGAUUGGAUGGAACGCGAUUGGUUGAAAGCGGUCAAUGGCUCUUGCUAAAAUUGUUCAACGAAACAAAUAUUCAAAAUAUGAAGGAAAUUGUUCAGACGACAUAAUGGCGCACAUUGAUUCGAUGAAUGGGUGGAAAACUCGCGCAAUUUAUGUCCAGCGAAAAAGGAAUUUCCGAAAAUUCCAUUAACCAUUUAAUUCCAUGCAAAGUGAACAUUAAAAUCGCGGACUAAAUUCCUUUCGGCAAACAGACGAGCAACCUCUUUUCCCUAAAACCGUAAUCACGUUUAUCACGGUCGUGAUCGUUUCACGUCUAAAACGAAUUCUCUUGCCAAGUUUUUCUUUUUUCUCUCUCCCUCCUUCCCUUCUUUUUUCCUCUCUCUCAUUUUUCCUUUCUUUUUUUCUUUCUUUCUCUUCUCCUCCUUCUUCUUGUUCUUUUUUCAUCUUCCCUCGAAACACAUGCAAAUUAAUCGCAUUAUCAACGAAUCGAGCAUAUUGUUCUCUCCCUUUGUUUUCCGGGAACACAUCGAGAAAUUGAAAAUUUUGCCAAUGUUAUAGGUAACGUAAAGAAACGGUUAUAAACCAGGGGGAUCCAGGAUAAUUUAUGGAGAAGGCAUGCCGCCAAGAUUUAAGGGUACUUAUAAAUUUUCAAAACUGACGAAUAUUGGAGACUCGUUCAGUCAAGUAUUUUACUUGUUAGCAAUGAGUAUCAAAUAUUUCAUAUUUGUUACUUGGAUUUAUAUUUAACUAGAUUAAACUCGAUCCCAUCUACCGUUGGUGCUCGAAUAAGAACGAAACGUUGAAAAAAAGUGAAGGAAAAAAACGAGAAUGGAGAACAGUUGACGAAACGAAAAAAGAAAAAAAAGACUGGAAUCACAACUUGAACAUCGAAUGACUGGAACUUGAAAAAGGAGGACAAAAAGCUGUAUAGCCCUUUCAACGUAUCGUUCCACGAUCCCGUCGUCGAAAGCCUUUGCACGAUCGUUUUUCCCGCGUUUUUUUCUCUCAUUCCUUCUACUUUCUUCGACCCCCGUAUCACUCUUGUUUCGAGCAUUAAUUUCUCUCUCUCUCUUUCUCUCUAACCUUUUUUCUCUGUCUAAUAGAUGCCAUCUAAGGACAAAAACUAUUAUCGACACGGAAAAAUAUACGAGUACAGAUCAGCGAGGCGAAAAUCAAAUAGAAAAUAAAAUCAAUAAUAACAAAAUUGCAUUGAAAGAGUUUAAAUAAUUGUCGAAUAUAAAUAGAAUUUGUAAUUAAUUUGUAUUUCUAUAAAAGAUAGUAAGAAUUUUUACACUAAUAAAUAAAUCAAGAUGAAAAAUAAAUAAACAAAAGUGCACUUCGAUCUUCGAUCACACGAAGAAUAGGCUCGUGAAGAGAAUCCUCAGAGAAUCGCAGAUUAAUCGAGCAAUUACGAUCACGAUAUAUCCGUCGUUUCACGGAUCGACGCUUUUGAAAUUUUGAACGAGAGAUCGUGCCCACGUGGACACGAUUUUCUCGACCACGGAGGCGUUUCCACCGAGACGGGCCUGUUUUCACGAUAAAGAUCUUCGAUAGUUGGGCCCAUUACCUGUUGCACACACUUUGUGAAAGAGUGACAUAACGUAAGGAGAAGCAGAAACCGGCUGAAUCGUAUGUGGGAGUAAUCCUUGCGCCGUGUAGGCCGAUCCCAAUUUCCUUCUUUUAAUCGAAUCACGUGGAUGUCUGUACGUCAACUUUUAUACACAUUUCUUUAAUCCUCUAACGUAUCUUUUUCAAAGGGAAAUCGUCGAAGAAUUCAUCGCAAUGCAUUUAGUUGUGGGAUGAAAGUAAUUGAGGAGGAAAUUUCCAAGAAGGUAAUUACGUACUUGUUAAAUUUAAUAUUCUGACGAAAGAUAAGUUACUGGAAAAGAAGACAGACUUUUCCCUCCUUUUUUCAUUCUUCCCUUCGUAAGUAUUCUUUCAACUUUUAUACACAUUUCUUUAAUCCUCUAACGUAUCUUUUUCAAAGGGAAAUCGUCGAAGAAUUCAUCGCAAUGCAUUUAGUUGUGGGAUGAAAGUAAUUGAGGAGGAAAUUUCCAAGAAGGUAAUUACGUACUUGUUAAAUUUAAUAUUCUGACGAAAGAUAAGUUACUGGAAAAGAAGACAGACUUUUCCCUCCUUUUUUCAUUCUUCCCUUCGUAAGUAUUCUUUCAACUUUUAUACACAUUUCUUUAAUCCUCUAACGUAUCUUUUUCAAAGGGAAAUCGUCGAAGAAUUCAUCGCAAUGCAUUUACAUUGUGGGAUGAAAGUAAUUGAGGAGGAAAUUUCCAAGAAGGUAAUUACGUACUUGUUAAGUUUGAUAUUCUGACGAAAGAUAAGUUACUGGAAAAGAAGACAGACUUUUCCCUCCUUUUUUCAUUCUUCCCUUCGUAAGUACUCUUUUACGAGAAAACGAUUGAUUCUUUCUCUCUCUUAUUUCUUCCCUCCCAAUUAGAACAACGAAUUACACAUCGUCGCUUAUCCUCCCCGAUAUGAGAUAACGAGGAAACAUUGUUGAUUCCCCGACACACGGUUUAAAUAGAAAUCGGCGAUCCGGAAAUGGAUAUCCGGAAUGGGAGCCGUGGUCAAACGGGUGUAAUAACGUUUAAACAAAUUCCGCGGUCCGGUCAAUAAUCAAUUUGUCAGGCGCAUCGAUGAAUCUGGCCAAUCCUCUCCCCUUUUUCCUUCCUUCGCGCGCUUGUACGCAGAGGGGAGGAGGGGGAAGCUAUCGACAACCGCAAAAUCGCACGCGCAUCGCCGCCAAAUCGGAUUUCGCGGUGGCCGCCCGUAUUAUUUGCAUAUCGGUUCCAGCGUUUCGUUGGAAACAACGACGGUCCGUCCACGGUGUUGCAUCGACGAGAUUGUGAGGGGGAGGAGGAAAGGAGGAAAAUGAAUGUGGAGCACGGGGAAAUAAAGCAGUCGGUAUGUCGUGCUCGGGGGAGGGAUUAGAAGGAGGGAGAGGAAGGUCUGGAUGAAUUUACGAUACGUUGGGUGACGCUUUUU
rnacentral:lncRNA from 11 species